GUGCUGUCACUAGCCCUGUGGUGCUGCCCCAUCCCUGUGGUUUCUCUACCCUUCCCCUUACCUUUAUAAAUUGUCUUUAUUGAAUCAUCCUUGAUUAUUCAGCCUGUGUGUGACACCUGCUUUUUUCUCAAUCCUAAUAAUACAGUAUCCAUGCUUCUGAUCUUCUAACUCUCUUUUUGACAAUAUCCUUUUUCUGAAAUAUUUUAUGGUAUAAUGAGUAUGGUAGAAAGAAUAACAGCCCUUA
rnacentral:lncRNA from 1 species